GCCCCAGUGGCUCAAAUGGAUAGAGCGAGGCACUCCUAACGCCUAGGUUGUGGGUUCGAUUCCUGCCUGGGGCACAA
rnacentral:tRNA from 1 species